rnacentral:rRNA from 1 species
ACACAUGCAAGUCGAACGGCAGCACGGGUGCUUGCACCUGGUGGCGAGUGGCGAACGGGUGAGUAAUACAUCGGAACAUGUCCUGUAGUGGGGGAUAGCCCGGCGAAAGCCGGAUUAAUACCGCAUACGAUCUACGGAUGAAAGCGGGGGACCUUCGGGCCUCGCGCUAUAGGGUUGGCCGAUGGCUGAUUAGCUAGUUGGUGGGGUAAAGGCCUACCAAGGCGACGAUCAGUAGCUGGUCUGAGAGGACGACCAGCCACACUGGGACUGAGACACGGCCCAGACUCCUACGGGAGGCAGCAGUGGGGAAUUUUGGACAAUGGGCGAAAGCCUGAUCCAGCAAUGCCGCGUGUGUGAAGAAGGCCUUCGGGUUGUAAAGCACUUUUGUCCGGAAAGAAAUCCUUGGUUCUAAUAUAGCCGGGGGAUGACGGUACCGGAAGAAUAAGCACCGGCUAACUACGUGCCAGCAGCCGCGGUAAUACGUAGGGUGCGAGCGUUAAUCGGAAUUACUGGGCGUAAAGCGUGCGCAGGCGGUUUGCUAAGACCGAUGUGAAAUCCCCGGGCUCAACCUGGGAACUGCAUUGGUGACUGGCAGGCUAGAGUAUGGCAGAGGGGGGUAGAAUUCCACGUGUAGCAGUGAAAUGCG